UACAGAACGCCCGGGCUUCGGCCUGGUUAUUCAUAACCCUUUGUUGUCCGACUCUGUUGCCCCCUUUGAGACCCUGCCUUCGGGCGGGGGCUCCGGGUGGACACUUCUUUCUCUUGCGUAACUUUGCAGUCUGAGUAAACUUAAUUAAUAAAUUAAAACUUUUAACAACGGAUCUCUUGGUUCUGGCAUCGAUGAAGAACGCAGCGAAAUGCGAUAAGUAAUGAGAAUUGCAGAAUUCAAUGAAUCAUCGAAUCUUUGAACGCACAUUGCGCCCCCUGGUAUUCCGGGGGGCAUGCCUGUUCGAGCGUCAUUUCACCACUCAAGCCUCGCUUGGUAUUGGGCAACGCGGUCCGCCGCGUGCCUCAAAUCGUCCGGCUGGGUCUUCUGUCCCCUAAGCGUUGUGGAAACUAUUCGCUAAAGGGUGUUCGGGAGGCUACGCCGUAAAACAACCCCAUUUCUAAGGUUGACCUCGGAUCAGGUAGGGAUACCCGCUGAACUUAAGCAUAUCAAUAA
rnacentral:rRNA from 1 species